AGAGUGCGUAAUAGCUCACCAGUCAAGUGCGCCUGCGCCGAUAAUGGUCGGGACUGAAAAGUCCGCCGCCGAAGCCAGGGAUUUGAGUCUUAGGACUCAAGUGGUAGGGGAGCGUUCCAGUAGCGGAGAAGCGGGGGUGGAAACCUUCCCGUGGAGCGGCUGGAAGUGAGGAUGCCGGAAUGAGUACGCGAUAACGGGGGUGAGAAUCCCCCGCACCGAAAGCCUAAGGUUUCCAGGGGCAGGCUCGUCCGCCCUGGGUUAGUCGGACCCUAAGUCGAGGCCGAAGGGCGUAGACGAUGGGAAUCGGGUGAAUAGUCCCGAACCACAGUGCAUGCGUUUGACCCGCAGGGGGGACGCAGGAGUGAAGCCGGAGCCGGGCGAUGGUCGUUCCCGGUGCAAGGAGGUAGGCGGUCCCGGGGGAUAAAAGACCCGGGUAGCCGAGAUCUGAUGCCAACUGGCUCUUCGGAGCUGGGAGUCCGUCUAAUCAGGCUGCCGAGAAAAGCCUCGGCGGGGAGGAUGCAUUGUGACCGUACCGCAAACGGACACACGUAGGCGAGGCGAGUAGCCUCAGGUGCGCGAGUGAUCUGUGGAGAAGGAACUCGGCAAAAUGUCCCCGUAACUUCGGGAGAAGGGGAGCCCCCGGUACUGAUUGGAGCCUUGCGCUCCAGGAGGGAGGGGGGCCGCAGAGAAUCGGCUCAAGCGACUGUUUAGCAAAAACACAGGUGUCUGCAAAGUCGCGCAAGACGACGUAUAGGCACUGACGCCUGCCCGGUGCCGGAAGGUUAAAAGG
rnacentral:rRNA from 14 species